GGGGUUGUGAUGGAGACGUGAAUGAGGAUGUGUUCAACCCUCAGUUCCGAAGCUUUUCUAUUCCGUUUGUUUUGUUGCCGUUAAACGUGUGUUUUGUAGCCUAAUAGAGUUUACCCAGGAUCGGAUCCACUCUUUGCGUCCGUGGACUACACCUCUCCGUUCUUCGUGGUCUUUCUCCGCUGGAGAUCUAUUGGCGGAUUGGAUUGUCUGACUGACCGACUGACUACCACCUUUUUGUAUACGGCAAGUCAGUUCUUAUUUACAAUGACGCCAUACACCGGCCAAACCCAGACGACGCUGGGCCAAUUAUGUACCGUCCUAUGGGACUACCAAUCAUGACCAGAUGUGAUACAGCUUGGAUACAAACCAGGGACUGUAGUGACACCUCUUGCAUUGAGAUGCAGUGCCUUAGACCGCUGCGCCACUAGGGCUUGUAGGUGCUUUUUGCUGGGUUACUGCUGGUGAAUGUAAGAGCACCCUGUCGUUCGUGGCAGCGUGGGGAGAAUCCAACUUCAUUCACAUGCAGGGCCAGGGGAGGGUUCUAGAUAGGUCCCGGUUGGAUCUUCCUCGGGCGUUAGGAUCGACGGAGUAGGACGGAGGGUAAUAAAUGGAUGACAGAGGAUGAGGAGUGGAGAUGAAGAGCUCUAUAUGAGGUGACUGCUGAGUGACAGUCAUGUGGGGGUCUCAGGCGAGUCGCCAGGGAUGGCCGUCUGCCCACAAUUACUGACCUGUCCAGGUGAGCUGUGAUGAGUUGGCCAGAACCGUAACCUCCAAUUGGAGUGGCUUAAAGUCCCGGUCCCUCUUCAGUCAUCGAAUUUCACAGAAGUCCCCUCAGAUUAUCUCACACUUUGAUUCCUUCUGGCGGAGAAUAGGGCCCCUCUUUGAAUCAGCAGCCAGGCAGAAAAUGUGAAGAGAGCAGAGCAGGCUGCAUAAUUGACUUUGGACUGAGGCGACAUGCAAGUCUGCAGAGGUGUAUCUGAUUGGAGGCUGCCCCCCUGCCCCGUUCUGUUUACGUCUGCCAUCUCCCCUCCCAGACAAAAAUAUAUGACAAACAUGAACAAUGAA